UACAGAGGUGGCGAGCGUUAUUCGGAAUUAUUGGGCGUAAAGGGCGCGUAGGCGGCUAGACAAGUCUCGGGUGAAAUCCCUCGGCUCAACCGAGGAACUGCCCUGGAAACUGUCUGGCUUGAGGCCGGGAGAGGGUAGUGGAAUUCCCAGUGUAGCGGUGAAAUGCGUAGAUACUGGGAGGAACACCGGUGGCGAAGGCGGCUACCUGGACCGGUUCUGACGCUGAGGCGCGAAAGCUAGGGGAGCAAACAGG
rnacentral:rRNA from 1 species